rnacentral:lncRNA from 1 species
AAGCACUAGAUCUUAAACCCUGUGAUGGGCAAUUUCCUUGUCAAUUUAGCGAGGCUGUGAUACCCAUGAUUCAACCAAACGCUUGCCUGGGUGCUACUGUGAGGUGCGUUGUACAUGUGGUCAGCACUGAUGAUCACUGGCUGUAAGUCAAAGGUUCUCCUCUGCGAGGUGGGUGGGCCUCAUGCAAUCGGUUGAAAGGCCUCAAGAGCAGAACCGAGGUUUCCCUGAAGAAGAAGAAAUCCUGCCUGGGGACUGCAGUGUCAGCUCCUCCGGGGAGCUUCCGGCCUGCUGGCCUGCCCUCUGGAUUUCAGACUUGCCUAGCCAGCCCCCACAAUCACGUGCUGGGGAGAGGCAGGACAGGCCUGUCCCCCGAGUCCCCUCCGGAUGCCGUGGACCGGCCAGCUGUGAGUGUUUCUUUGGCAGUGUCUUAGCUGGUUGUUGUGAGCAAUAGUAAGGAAGCAAUCAGCAAGUAUACUGCCCUAGAAGUGCUGCACGUUGUGGGGCCCAAGAGGGAAGAUGAAGCGAGAGAUGCCCAGACCAGUGGGAGACGCCAGGACUUCGGAAGCUCUUCUGCGCCACGGUGGGUGGUGAGGGCGGCUGGGAAAGUGAGCUCCAGGGCCCCAGGAGCAGCCUGCUCGUGGGUGCGGAAGGAAAAAGGCACAGGGGCUUGGUGUGGGCGGCUUUUGGCUGGGAGAAGUUUGCACGUAGGGAGAAUAGUAGCCAGUGUUUGCAGAGCACUUACUAUGCAGGAAGGCCUGUCCUAAGUAUUGUAAGUGUAUUACAUCAUGUACAAGUGUCUGUGAUUAACCCCGUCUUGCAGAGAAGGAAACAAAAGUACAAACAGAAAAUGUAACUAAGCAUGCAAUUAAUAAAAAGGGACCAGGUUUUGAACGCGAGCAAUCUGGCUCAAGAAUCUGCGCCCAACCACCGGCUCCUGUUCUUAGAGAUGAACGUGGAGUCCUGGAGACUGCUCAACAUUGUGACUUGACUGUGAGCGUACGCGCUCCCUGUCCCCAGGAGACAGAUUUCCAGUGCAAUCAUAGAAAGUGCCUGUGUGGGCUUCGGGAGAUGUGUCUGCCUUGGGGAGAAUUUUCCUUUUCAGCUAGAGCCAGGCCCAGGAUGUUGACGUCAGUGAGACGCUGGUGACGUUCUCUGCUCCAGUGGCUGAUGAGAAAAGUUCCUCCAAGCCAGCUCAGUUGAGAAGAAUUAAGUUCUCUGGGUCCCACUGGCUUCACCUACAGAUGCCAACUUUGAGGCCAGUGAACUGUGAGGCCAGCUGGGCUGAUUGCCAUGGCAACAGGAAUUGGACCAAAGUCACCGGAGGAUGGAGAGGGAAGACACAGUGGUGGCUUCCCCAGGUCUUGGACCACAAGGCACAGCCGUGGCCUCCAGGAACCCUGAGAUAACCCGUUAGUGGGUCCUGCACUCCAACAGAGCUCAUGCAAUCAGCCUCUGGUCCUCACCCUCCUCCCAUUGGUGUCGUUGUGCUCUCUAACAUUGACAUUGAGCAGUGAGUGCUCCAGAUCUUGUUCCACUGAUUUUUUCCACUGUUCUCCAGUCUAGCACUUUCUGAAAUUCAUCCAAGCCUAAGAGGUGACGCCAAACGUAAGUGUCUUACACCUCGGACCCCAUGGACUAAGACAAGCCUCUGGGGUCCAUGUGGCACCAAGGAUGGGGCCUUCUAGUACCUUUCACACAGGCCAGGGACAGCACCUGCUGCGACCCCCACCCCCAGCCUCUGCUGCUUCUCCCGUUGCCCUUCCAGCCACUGCCCUGGGCACCUCCCCUGCUCCCGCCUCCCUGCCUGGGCCCAUCUUUCUUUGCACCUCACCAAUUGCGGGGCUUCCUAGUGCUGGAGGGGAAGGGAGCCUGCUUCCAUUCUCACCACUCUGAAAGAAGACCCUGCAGAGAGGUUUUCUGGAAUUUGGAGCCUAACCUUGGCCUUGACACAGUCCAGAUGAGAAGGCCGUCCCCCAGUUAAGCCAGCCCUCCCUCCCUCUCAAUGCUGGAGAGGAAACCAGGCAGCUGGUUGCUUCAGCAAACCCCCUCCCUAUGGGAAUUGUCCUUUUCUUCCUCAAAUAGACUGGAGUGCAGAGGACUUGCUUCAGAGAGAGCCCCUUUGUAACGCACAUUGCACGGGCCGUGCCCCAUGCCCACUCUGCCACAAACUCCCCUCAGCUGCCCAGCCCCGUGGAGCCAGGCGUGGGCUGAAGUGGGGCCAAUGAAAUGCCUGGAAUGCCAGCCGCAGUGACAGGCCAGCACUCAGAUGCCUCUCGGGAGUUCUGACCGAAGCAGCACUGAGGACUGCUUCAGAGCAGAAGUCUACGCCAUUUUCCCCAGUUCUAGGCAGAAGUAAAGAAUGUCUCUACCUUCUCCCAACCAGCAAUUGAUUCAGAGUCCUGAGCUUUUAAAUUAAAGGGACCCCUCUGUUGCUUUAUGCAGUAGCCAGCUUAUUCAUUUGAGUUCAGGUGAAAUCAUUUUCAAGUAACCUCUUCCUAUCCAGCUUUACUUUUAGUUAUGCUGACAUAAAAACAAUAAAAAUUGUCCUCCUCAGAGUUCACCUGUAAAAGUUCCUGGAUAAUUAGUAAGGAAACAGAAAGAGCAGAUAGUUGUUGCUUCAGAUAAAAGUGAUGUCUGGGUUGGGCACGGUGGCGCAUGCCUGUAAUCCCAGCACUUGGGGAGGCCCAGGUGGAUGGAUCCCUUGAGCUCAGGAGUUUCAGACCAGCCUGGGCAACAUCUCUACAAAAAAUACAAAAAUUAGCCAGGCAUAGUGGCAGGACUGUAGUCCCAGCUACUCAGGAGGCUGAGGUCAGGGGAUGGCUUGAGCCCAGGAGGCACAGAUUGAAGUGAGCUGAGAUUGCGCCACUGUAUUCCAGCCUAGGUGACAGAGCCAGACCCUGUCUCAAAUUAAAAAAAACUCUUUGUGGUCAUUUAAUUUACUUCUGCAUUCUUUUUUUUUUUUUUUUGAAAUGGGCAGUGGUACCAUCUCAGCUCACUGCAACCUCUGCCUUGGGGGUUCAAGUGAUUCUCCUGCCUCAGCCUCCCGAGUAGCUGGGAUUACAGGCACCCGCCACCACGCCCAGCUAAUUUUUGUAUUUUUAGUAGAGACGGGGCUUUGCCAUGUUGACCAGGCUGGACUCAAACUCCUGACCUCAGGUGAUCCGCCCACCUCGGCCUCCCAAAGCACUGGGAUUACAGGAAUGAGCCACUGCACUCGGCCUACUUCUGCAUUCCUUAGAGUACAUCCUAGCUAGGAUAUAUUCACUUGUCUUUAGAGCUAACAGCAGAAGAAAGGUACCUAGAUGCUUAUCUAGCUCUUUAUCUUUCUAGAAAUUCUAGAAGAUGAGAGGGGCAGUGGUGGCUCCAAGGGAGUGAUUUUAGGAUGGACUGGGACAGAGAGGGGCUGCUUACACAUACUCACACAGAGGCCAUUAAUUUAGGGAGUUCAAGGUCCAGGAGGUUGACGGCAUCUAGGCCUGUGGCAGAGUGCACUCCUGCUUUGGGGAAUGUAUGGGCAGCUUCUUGCCUGUAGUUGGAGGGUUAGAGAGAGGGAUCAAUAAUUUCAUGGUUGGACUUGAGUUUGGAGCGAGUGGAGUUAGAUACAAAUUCUAUGUUUUUGGAGAAAGUAUUUGAUCUUCUUGGCUGUGAGGCAAAGCGAGGUUUAAAAAUAUUUUUCACUUAAAAAUAUAUAUAUAUGCAUGUAUAUUUAAUACUGUCUAUGGAUUGUGCCAAUAUCUAUUUCAUGGUUUUGAUAUUGUGUAGUUAUACAAGGAGUUACCACUGAACGAAACUGGGGGAAGGGUACACAGAAUCUCUGUACUUUUUUUGUUGUUGUUGCAAUUUCCUGUAAAUCUAUGAUUAUUUUAAAAUAAAAAAGUUAAAGCAUACGUAUUUACAUUUGAUUAAAUGCAGUGUGAUAUCCUGGGUUGGAUUUUGGAACAAAACAAGGCAUGAGUGAAAAAACUGGUAAAAUCCAAAAAAGCCUUUAGUUAAAAGUAAUACCAGUGUUAAUUUCUUAGUUUUGACAAAUGUGCCAUGGCUGUGUAAGAUGCAAAUGUUAGAGGAAACUGGGCG